rnacentral:rRNA from 1 species
UACAGAGGUGGCAAGCGUUGUUCGGAAUUACUGGGCGUAAAGGGCGCGUAGGCGGUCUUGUAAGUCUUGUGUGAAAUCCCUCGGCUUAACUGAGGAACUGCACGGGAUACUGCGAGACUUGAGUUCGGGAGAGGGAAGCGGAAUUCCGGGUGUAGCGGUGAAAUGCGUAGAUAUCCGGAGGAACACCGGUGGCGAAGGCGGCUUCCUGGACCGACACUGACGCUGAGGCGCGAAAGCUAGGGGAGCAAACGGG